rnacentral:rRNA from 1 species
AUUGAACGCUGGCGGCAGGCCUAACACAUGCAAGUUGAGCGGAUGAAGGGAGUACGUUUCUGGAUUCAGCGGCGGACGGGUGAGUAAUGCAUAGGAAUCUGCUCGGCCGUGGGGGGGAAGGCCAGAAAUGGGGACGAAUUCUAGCACCGCACAAGAGGGGUAAAGAGGGGGUUUAUGGGUGAAAAAGCCAAUAGCAGAACCCAGGUAGGAUUAGCUGUUUGGUGGGGUAAUGGCCUACCAAGGCGCCGACCAGUGACUGGUUUGAGAGGAUGACCAGUCACACGGGAACUGAGACACGGUCCAGACUCCUACGGGAGGCAGCAGUGGGGAAUAUUGGACAAUGGGCGAAAGCCUGAUCCAGCCAUGCCGCGUGUGGGAAGAAGGUCUUCGGAUUGUAAAGCACUUUAAGUUGGGAGGAAGGGCAGUAGGUUAAUACCUUGCUGUUUUGACGUUACCAACAGAGUAAGCACCGGCUAACUUCGUG